AGCUUGCUACCUGACCUAGCGGCGGACGGGUGAGUAAUGCUUAGGAAUCUGCCUAUUAGUGGGGGACAACAUUCCGAAAGGAAUGCUAAUACCGCAUACGCCCUACGGGGGAAAGCAGGGGAUCUUCGGACCUUGCGCUAAUAGAUGAGCCUAAGUCAGAUUAGCUAGUUGGUGGGGUAAAGGCCUACCAAGGCGACGAUCUGUAGCGGGUCUGAGAGGAUGAUCCGCCACACUGGGACUGAGACACGGCCCAGACUCCUACGGGAGGCAGCAGUGGGGAAUAUUGGACAAUGGGCGAAAGCCUGAUCCAGCCAUGCCGCGUGUGUGAAGAAGGCCUUUUGGUUGUAAAGCACUUUAAGCGAGGAGGAGGCUACUGAGAUUAAUACUCUUGGAUAGUGGACGUUACUCGCAGAAUAAGCACCGGCUAACUCUGUGCCAGCAGCCGCGGUAAUACAGAGGGUGCGAGCGUUAAUCGGAUUUACUGGGCGUAAAGCGUGCGUAGGCGGCUUUUUAAGUCGGAUGUGAAAUCCCUGAGCUUAACUUAGGAAUUGCAUUCGAUACUGGGAAGCUAGAGUAUGGGAGAGGAUGGUAGAAUUCCAGGUGUAGCGGUGAAAUGCGUAGAGAUCUGGAGGAAUACCGAUGGCGAAGGCAGCCAUCUGGCCUAAUACUGACGCUGAGGUACGAAAGCAUGGGGAGCAAACAGGAUUAGAUACCCUGGUAGUCCAUGCCGUAAACGAUGUCUACUAGCCGUUGGGGCCUUUGAGGCUUUAGUGGCGCAGCUAACGCGAUAAGUAGACCGC
rnacentral:rRNA from 1 species